rnacentral:rRNA from 1 species
ACCCAGACUCCUACGGGAGGCAGCAGUGAGGAAUAUUGGUCAAUGGUCGGGAGACUGAACCAGCCAAGUCGCGUGAGGGAAUAAGGCCCUAUGGGUCGUAAACCUCUUUUGUCAGGGAGCAAAGGCGUCCACGAGUGGACGAAAGGAGAGUACCUGAAGAAAAAGCAUCGGCUAACUCCGUGCCAGCAGCCGCGGUAAUACGGAGGAUGCGAGCGUUAUCCGGAUUUAUUGGGUUUAAAGGGUGCGCAGGCGGAAUGUCAAGUCAGCGGUAAAAUUUCGGGGCUCAACCCCGUCGUGCCGUUGAAACUGGCGUUCUUGAGUGAGCGAGAAGUAUGCGGAAUGCGUGGUGUAGCGGUGAAAUGCAUAGAUAUCACGCAGAACUCCGAUUGCGAAGGCAGCAUACCGGCGCUCAACUGACGCUCAUGCACGAAAGCGUGGGUAUCGAACAGGAUUAGAUACCCUAGUA